GGGGUACACCUGAAACUGCUGUAAAAUAACUCGCAUCUCUCUUUGUCCUCUUUCCUGACCUCGAUCCUUGAGAGUGGCCUGCACAGCAAGUUCAUUCACACCUCCUCUUCCAGUUACUCUCAUCUCACGUUAUAAGUUUAAAGCUAAGAGCUUCCUCUAUGGAUUAUCUCAACACUCAUCUCUAGGAAAGAGAAGCAAUACCCAACAAACAGCUGAAACGUACAGGUACCUGUCAUUACUUCUGUGAGAACCGUGGAAUCAAAUUUCC